rnacentral:tRNA from 1 species
GGCCCCGUCGUCUAGCGGCUAGGACGCAACCCUUUCAAGGUUGAGGUGCGGGUUCGAUUCCCGCCGGGGUCA